UUGAUGUCUAUGCUAUUUAGCUAUUGACUAUUGGCUAUUUUAUAUUACUAUGAAAGAAUUUAAAUGGUUUGUAUCUUAUAACCUUUUAUUUUAAUGUGCCGUUAAAAUAUAAGUCGUUACACUAAUUAGAAACUAGAACCCUUUUAUACUCAUAGUUUCUCGGUGACACCAUUGACCAAAAAAUCCUAGAUCCGCCCCUGUGGCCCAUCACUUAGCUCAUAGAACCUUACUCGCUGCUAUGUGGCACACUUACAUGCAUAUGUAAGUAAAUAUUACCUUGUACUACUACCUGCACUUUUGCACUCAACAACUUCUAUUGCAUUUAAUCUGAGCAAACUUUGCUGUGAUUGUUUAUCCACGAAACAGAAGCAGAAGAGAAACUGAGAAGAACCCAGCUUAGAUCAGACUGAAGAACUAGAUGCGGUGGACGCCUUCAAGACCUGCUGACAUGAGGGCUGCUAGUCAGAGCUGCUGUUUUUGGCCUGUUCUUUGACAUGAGGGUACCCAAAAACUCUAGUUGCUCGUGGGUGUCAACUUUUUAUUAUAUGUUGUUAUGUUUGUGCAAAAUCAACUGAAAUGUGAAGUCAAGUGGUGAUGCUGUGAACUGAGUUUAGUGUUGUCCACUUAGUUUGUAUGAUCACUGGAAUACUAGUUGUAUUCAUCUACGGAAUAUGGAAUUGUG
rnacentral:lncRNA from 1 species